AUUUCUUGGACUUCCAGGUGCGAUGGUUUGGUGGUACCAUCCUCCACAUACACAGAAGUAGGCUGUGAAUGCUCAAUAGCACUUGUUAGAUCUCUGUGCUCCCUCCCAACUCUACUUCUGACAUGUGCAGUAUCAAUUUUGGAUGCUCAGUUUGUGAACACCGCUCCGAACGUGAUUGUAAUGUUAUAGUAGAGCCGCCAUUCAUAUAACAGAACCUGAGGAGCCUCACAACAG